GCAGGAGCUGGCGGGGCGGGGGGACCGGGGCAGGGGCGGCGGGUGUGGGAGGUCCCGGGCGCUAUUUGCAAAGGGAAAGUCCGGCAGAGCCGUGUGUGCUUCGCUCGGUGCUUCUGGUUCUAAAACCGCGUUGUGGAUCGGGCUGCGAGCGCUGCGCUCUGGCCGUGCCCCGGGCGGGCUGCGUCUUCGAGACGGGAUUAUUUUUUUCCCUCCCUCCUCUUUGGCAACACUCGUCAAGCUCGUGGUGCCGGAGAAGUCUCACUGAUCGGAAUUGAAAUUGUACACCUCUGUUGAGAUGUUAUACACUGCAAUUCACUCUUUGUGUCCUUCUAAUGUGGUUUACACCCUGGCAAAUACUUUAACUUACAUAUCAGAAACGGUUAACUGUUCUCCUGUAGUGUGAGGGGAUACUGAGAUAUUUCAAGAAACUUUUUCUAGCCAAACGACCAGAUAGCCAAAGAUGCUCAUUAUCCUGUGGCUCCCACCCAACUUUCCAGUCUUCUGCAUUUUUGCUUCCUCUGUGAAAGCCUGCCUGCUUAUUUGAUGAGCCCUAACAAGAACCAAGGCCUCC
rnacentral:lncRNA from 1 species